AGUCCUAUGCUUGUCACAAAGAUUAAGCCAUGCACGUCUAAGUACGAGCCGCCCCGGCGGCGAAACUGCGAACGGCUCAUUAAAUCGGUUACGACUCCACUGGUGCCAGACGUCCAGGUGGAUAACGUGCGGUAACUCCGGUGCUAAUACAUGCAACAAGGCUCCGACCCGGCGCGCGAGCGUCGGGGAAGGGCGCACUUAUUAGGCGAAAACCGACGUCCCGGGUCAAACCGGGGCUUCGGCGGACGACACCCGAGUAGUUGCCGCCGAUCGCACGGCCUCGCGCCGGCGACGCAUCUUUCGAGUUUCCGAUCUAUCACGCUGACGACGGCUGGUGCUACGCCAACCGUGGCGUUUACGGAUAACAGAGAAUCUGGGUUCGAUUCUGGAGAGGCCGCCUGAGAAACGGCGACCACUUCCAAGGAAGGCAGCAGGCACGCAAAUUACCCACUUCUGACACAGAGAGGUAGUGACGUGAAAUACCGAUGCGGCGCGCGCAAGCGACGUCGCAAUCGGAAUGAGAACAGUUCAAAACCUUUAACGAGGAUCCACUGGAGGGAAAGCCUGGUGCCAGCAGCCGCGGUAAUUCCAGCUCCAGCAGCGUAUAUUAUUAUUGCUGCGUUUAAAAAGCUCGUAGUUGGCGUACCGACGCGUGACGGCGGUCGGCCUCGCGGCUCGCACUGCCCGAUCGCGCCAUGCGCGAACGUCGCCGACGUUGCGCUUCGCCGCGUGACCUCGGCAGCAUCGCACGUUCACUUGAGAAACUGACGUCAUGGGAGGCGUGGGCGCUCGAACAACCCAGCAUGUACGAUGACAGGCGCGUGCGUUGUGUUUAGACC
rnacentral:rRNA from 1 species